rnacentral:rRNA from 1 species
AGCAGCCGCGGUAAUUCCAGCUCCAAUAGCGUAUAUUAAAGUUGUUGCAGUUAAAAAGCUCGUAGUUGAAUUUCGGGAUCAAUACGUCGGUCGUGCCUCGGUACGUACUGGCGUCAUUGAUUUCUCCCUUCUGAAGAACCGUGAUACCAUUAACUUGGUGUCAUGGGGAAAUCAGGACUGUUACUUUAGAAAAAAUUAGAGUGUUUAAAGCAGGCUCACGCUUGAAUACAUUAGCAUGGAAUAAUGAAGUAGGACGUUCGACCCUAUUUUGUUGGUUUCUAGGAUCAACGUAAUGAUUAAUAGGGAUAGUUGGGGGCAUUAGUAUUCAAUUGUCAGAGGUGAAAUUCUUGGAUUUAUUGAAGACUAACUACUGCGAAAGCAUUUGCCAAGGAUGUUUUCAUUAAUCAAGAACGAAAGUUAGGGGAUCGAAGACGAUCAGAUACCGUCGUAGUCUUAACCAUAAACUAUGCCGACUAGGGAUCGGAUGAUGUUAAUUUUUAAUGACUCAUUCGGCGCCUUA